rfam:Nicotiana attenuata strain TT scaffold03304, whole genome shotgun sequence.
UGGCUGUAGCUAUAUGAAUAUAUUGGAGAAGUUUUACUGGCCGGUUGUUAUAUAAAUCUAUUGACAUAUCUGCUUACCGAACUUCUUACAUUA